rnacentral:rRNA from 1 species
UACGAAGGGGGGCUAGCGUUGCUCGGAAUGACUGGGCGUAAAGGGCGCGUAGGCGGAUGGCACAGUCAGAUGUGAAAUUCCCGGGCUUAACCUGGGGGGCUGCAUUUGAUACGUGUUGUCUAGAGUGAGGAAGAGGGUUGUGGAAUUCCCCAGUGUAGAGGUGAAAUUCGUAGAUAUUGGGAAGAACACCGGUGGCGAAGGCGGCAACCUGGUCCUUGACUGACGCUGAGGCGCGAAAGCGUGGGGGAGCAAACAGG